AUUGAACGCUGGCGGCAUGCCUUACACAUGCAAGUCGAACGGUAGAGGGGGGCAACCCCUUCGAGAGUGGCGAACGGGUGAGUAAUGCAUCGGAACGUGCCCGGUCGUGGGGGAUAGCCCGGGGAAACCCGGAUUGAUACCGCAUACGACCUGAGGGUGAAAGCGGGGGACUCGCAAGGGCCUCGCGCGAGUGGAGCGGCCGAGGUCGGAUUAGGGAGUUGGUGGGUUAAAGGCCUACCAAGCCUGCGAUCCGUAGCUGGUCUGAGAGGACGACCAGCCACACUGGGACUGAGACACGGCCCAGACUCCUACGGGAGGCAGCAGUGGGGAAUUUUGGACAAUGGGGGCAACCCUGAUCCAGCCAUGCCGCGUGCGGGAAGAAGGCCUUCGGGUUGUAAACCGCUUUUGUCAGGGAAGAAAUGUCCUGGGCUAAUACCCUGGGGGGAUGACGGUACCUGAAGAAUAAGCACCGGCUAACUACGUGCCAGCCGCCGCAGUAA
rnacentral:rRNA from 1 species